UUGGAGGGCAAGUCUGGUGCCAGCAGCCGCGGUAAUUCCAGCUCCAGUAGCGUAUAUUAAAGUUGUUGCAGUUAAAAAGCUCGUAGUUGAAUUUCGGGGUCAGCAAGUUGGUCGUGCCACUGGUAUGCACUGGCUUUGCCGAUUCCUCCUUCUUGAAGAACUGUAAUGUCAUUAAUUUGGUGUUGCAGGGAAACAGGACUGUUACUUUGAAAAAAUUAGAGUGUUUAAAGCAGGC
rnacentral:rRNA from 1 species